rnacentral:misc_RNA from 1 species
AAGUCGUAACAAGGUUUCCGUAGGUGAACCUGCGGAAGGAUCAUUAACAAGAUAGGGUCUCUUCGGAGCCCGACCUCCAACCCAUUGUCUACAUAACCUCUGUUGCCUCGGUGGGCCGCCGGCGCUCUUCCGCGGGCGUCGCCGUCGGCUCUUUCAGGGCUUUCGAGCGCCCACCGCAGGGAUUUGAUUAAACUCUUUUUAAAAGCAGUAUUCUGAGUGACAAUCAAUAGCUUUAAAA